GUUUGUUCUUAAUUUUCUGAUGAAACAUCAAGGUAGUAAGUAAAGAGAGGGUUGUACUCUCGCAAAAUGGUUAAGACCAUCACAUUUGUGCUGUGCCUGUUUCAAGCCAAACAUUUAUAGUCCAGAGAUUGCAUUUGGUUGCCCUGUGCCGUUCUUUGUUCAUUUGAUGUUAUGCUUAAUGUUACUGCCGCAAAUUAUGAGCCUUUAUUU
rnacentral:lncRNA from 1 species